rnacentral:tRNA from 1 species
UCUAAUGUGACAGAAUUUUAUGUGGUAAAUUUAAGAUUUAUAAAUAAGUAAAUUUACUUCUUUAGAA